rnacentral:rRNA from 1 species
AGAGUUUGAUCCUGGCUCAGGAUGAACGCUGGCGGCGUGCCUAAUACAUGCAAGUCGAGCGGUAAGGCCCCUUCGGGGGUACACGAGCGGCGGACGGCUGAGUAACACGUAGGAACAUACCCCAAACUGAGGGAUAACUGCUCGAAAGAGUAGCUAAUACCGCAUGUGAUCUAAGGAUUAAAGCUUCGGCGGUUUGGGAAUGGCCUGCGUAUGAUUAGUUUGUUGGUGAGGUAAUGGCUCACCAAGACUACGAUCAUUAGCUGGUCUGAGAGGAUGAUCAGCCAGACUGGGACUGAGACACGGCCCAGACUCCUACGGGAGGCAGCAGUAGGGAAUUUUCCACAAUGGGCGAAAGCCUGAUGGAGCAACGCCGCGUGCAGGAUGAAGGCUUUCGGGUCGUAAACUGCUUUUAUAGGUGAAGAUUAUGACGGUAACCUAUGAAUAAGGAUCGGCUAACUCCGUGCCAGCAGCCGCGGUCAUACGGAGGAUCCAAGCGUUAUCCGGAAUUACUGGGCGUAAAGAGUUGCGUAGGCGGCAUAGUAAGUAGGGCGUGAAAGCGUGUGGCUCAACCAUAUACACAUGUCCUAAACUGCUAAGCUAGAAUAUAGAAGAGGUCACUGGAAUUCCUUGUGUAGGAGUGAAAUCCGUAGAUAUAAGGAGGAACACCGAUGGCGUAGGCAGGUGACUGGUCUAUUAUUGACGCUAAGGCACGAAAGCGUGGGGAGCAAACGGGAUUAGAUACCCUGGUAGUCG